rnacentral:lncRNA from 1 species
UUUCCUAUUACUCAUUAUGUUUACCUUAAAUGCCUGAUACGCAUGAAGUAUGUCCUGGUGUCCUCUACUGUGGACGUGUCUGAAACUGAUGCAUGUCUCACAACAGAAAGUCAUAUUCUGCUUUGAAACCCACUAAAGUUGUCCUGAGACGAGGACAAACAUUUAGAAAAAAAUAGUCUGAUUUUAAUGAUAUUAUAUUAUAUAUCAUUUUUCUAUCACACUUCUGAAUUUAGUCAUGAAGUCAAUGUCUGUCAUAUUUAAAGGUCUAGGAGAGGGACUUGUCAUGAUCAAACCUCCAGAUAUUUGGUAUCUUUGAAAUACUCUGAAUGUGCUCUGUACCAGACUUAAAACUCUGACAUGUAUGGACUCAGAGAUAAUUGCUCAAAUAUAAUGUCCUCUACAGAGGAGUAAAGUCUACGCCUGGGUCCCAUUGUAUUAAUUUGUUUCACUUUGGGGAAAUGUGUGUUCUAUGUCCAAAAAUCAGACCCUUUUUUCAACUUCCUUUCUUCACAUUGCAGAGUAGACUAAUAGUAAUAUGAUAAAUUGUUUUAUGUCUUGUCAUUAUUGCUGUCUGGUUCAUUUAGAAUGAUUCAUUCUCUGUUUACUUCUGUUAAACUUUCAUUUUCUCAUAAAGCCCCUCCCCUUCUGAUAAUCUACAAAAUGAGCACUCAAACUGAAAUAUUUCAUUCACCUCCUGAUCAAAGAUGGAUCUACAAAUCUCAGCUUUUCUUCUGUUCGUUCUUUUCACUGCAGGACACUCUCUCAGCUGCUAUCAGUGCAGGAAUGAGACGAGUUCUUGUGUGGAUCCUGAGAUGAAAACAUGUCCCAGUGGAUAUUCCAAGUGCAUGAAUGUAACAACAGUAUUGGAUUUUGGUGCAACUAAAGUGAAUGGUAGAUAUUGUGCUGGUAACUGUACAAGUGGGUCCUUGAACUUUGGGUUUGCACAGGCGUCUUAUUCCUGCUGUGAAACUGAUCUUUGUAACGUCCCAGAUGCUCCAGGUAUUGUACUUUAUACUGACCAUAGAAUCUAUCUGUAAGGUCAAAACUCAUUUUACUUUUAUAUGAUAUUUAGUAAGGAAAUAAAAUGCAGAGUGCAGCUUGAUUUUUAGGAACUGAAUUGAUGGAGCAGCUAAAGGAGUAUUGUUUCAUUAGAAGUCAUAUUUUAAAUGAAAAAUAAAAAACAUUGUCUGUUGUUGAUUGGUAGACACAUAGGGAUAAACAGUUUAAUGCAUUGUUUGCUUUUGCUAGAUUUGUGUGUGUGUGUGUGUGUGUGUGUGUGUGAGUGUGUGUAGGUUUGUGUCUAGUGUUAUGGGACAAUUGUAUGGAGCUUAAAUUGUAAAUUGUAAUUUCCCUACUGUAUUGUAAAGCAAAAUAAUAUACCUGUGAAAUAUACAUUUUUAUUUGUUUUACAGUGCAGUUGUUUUAGUUUCCAACAUUAUCAGUGAUAAUGUUAAAUCUUUAUUUAUUGUAUGAGCGUGUGAGCCUGUGUGUGGAUAAAACCUUUCAGGGUGUAGUGCGUAAAAACCUCUAUGUUUGAGCAGUAGUUCCUAGAUUAAACAUCACUUUUAAUCAGGUUCACCACAAUUCUAAUCACACUGAAAAAAAAAAAGAUUUUCUUACAUAGUAUUUUUGUCUUCUUUUCUAGUAUAAAUAUCUCAACAUUCUUAAAUCAAGAUGCAAUCACUUGAGAAGCAAAAUGACUUAAAGGGGUGCUGUUAUGCUUUUUCACUUUUUCAACUUUAGUUAGUCUGUAAUGUUGCUGUUUCAGCAUAAAAAAGAUCUGCAAAGCUCAGAGUCCAAUUCAAAAGGAGAUAUUUUAUUUAACAGAAAUCACUUUUCAAGAACUACAAUGAAUGACUCGUUUGGACUACAACGCAUCUUUUCCGGGAUUUGUGGUAUCACAAAGAUCGAUGAAUGGGACGAGACCUGGUUAAACUGCAUUAGAGAAGGCAGCGAGUGUUAUCACUAUGUCAGAGAUGGGCUAGUGUUCCCAAGACAAACAAACUUAGAGUGGUUACAAUCAUCCGGGUUUAAAUCACGCUCAAAUUGUUUGAUUUUGAUGCAAUAUUUACACUGAUUGAAGCUCGCAGCAGGCGGCUAUAAUAAGGACAUGACAUUUCCCUAUCAGGCGCCCAGUGCUGUCAAUCACAACACACACUGACCCAGCUAACCAAUCACAACACAGACAGGCCCAGCUAACCAAUCACAACACAGACUGGCGCAGCUAACCAAUCACAGCACAUUUCGUAUUUCAGAAGGUGGGCCUUCAUUUGUUACAGGAACAAUUCCAGCCGUUCAUGCCAGACUGGGGAGAGAGCUGUUGUAAUAAUGUAAAAUAUGUGAAAAAUAUGUUUUUAGAACAACCUACGUAGUAUGAGAGUCUGUUCUAGUACACCCCUAAAAUAAAAUUAAGACCUUGUAAAAGAGCAUAACAGGACCCCUUUAAGAUAUUAUGUCUUGUUUUCUGGAGAAGAAAAUUAUCAAAACUUUGUUAGUUUUUGCUUAAAAGAGAAUCAGGAUCAGAAAGAGCGUUAUUGCCAAGUAUGCUUGCGCAUACAAGGAAUUUGUUUUAGUGACAUAAGUUUCCAGUACACAGAGACAACAACAACACAAAAAAAAUUGCAAAUAAAUAAAUUGUAUGAACAGUUGUGCUAUAGAUGAUAAUGGAAUAGAAUAGAGUAAGAUGCAGAGAUGUACUUGGAUGGAGGGGUAACAAAUAAAUAUAAAAAUAUUGCACAUAUUUAUUGCAUAAGUGGGGAACAUUUAACUGUUCAUGAGGUAGAUUGCCUGGGGGAAGAAACUGUUCUUGUGCCUGACUGUCCUGGUAUUUGCGGCUCUGAAGCGCCGGCCAGAUGGACAAAAGUUCAUACAGGGGUAACUUGGAUGUUACUCUGGAUGUAUACAGUCUUGAAGGGUGGGCAGGGGAGCACCAAUAAUUCUUUCAGCAGUCCGAACCGUUCUCUGUAGUCUUCUGAUGUCUGAUUUUGUAGCUAAACCGAACCAGACAGUUAUUGAAGUGCAAAGGACAGACUCUAUGACGGCUUAGUAGAACUGUUUCAGCAGCUCCUGUGGCAGGUUAAACUUCCUCAGCUGGCGAAGGAAGUACGACCUUUGUUGGGCCUUUUUAACAAUGGAGUCAAUGUGAUUGUCCCACUUCAGGUCCUGAGAGAUGGUGGUUCCCAGGAAUCUGAAUGACUCCACUGCAGCCACAGUGCUGUUCAUGAUGGUGAGUGGGGGGAGUGCAGGGGGUUUCUCCUGAAGUCCACGAUCAUCUCCACUGUUUUGAGAGUGUUCAGCUCCAGGUUGUUAAGACUGCACCAGACAGCCAGCUGCUCAACCCCUUGUCUGUAAGCAGACUCGUCACCGUCCUGGAUGAGACCAAUGACAGAGGAGUCUUUUGAGGUGCAGUCGUUGGUGUAGAGGGAGAAGAGCAGUGGGGAGAGAACACAUCCCUGAGGUGCACCAGUGUUGGUGGAGCAGCUGUUUGACAUGAAUUUCCCCAGUCUCACUAGCUGUUGUCUAUCUGUCAGAAAGCUGGUGAUCCACUGACAGAUAGAGCUAGGAACAGACAGCUGGGUCAGUUUGGUCUGGAGGGCUGUUGGGAUGAUGGUGUUGAAAGCCGAACUAAAGUCCACAAACAGUAUCCUCACAUAAGUAACCUGUUUUGUCCAGAUGUUGCAGGAUGAAGUGCAAUCCCAUGUUGAUUGCAUCAUCCAUGGACCUGUUUGCUCGGUAAGCAAACUGCAG